GCUGUCUUCAGAGUUCUGAAGAGCAUCAUGGAGAAGUCAAACCAAAUACAAACUCAAACAUGCAACACUUCCAGAAAAACAACAUCAAAUGCCAAGGUGGAAGAGAAAAACACAAAUGGAACUGCAGGAACUGGAGAACCUGCUGCUCAGAGCAUGUGGAAGUCUACUGACUCUCUUCUGCCACAGGCAACACGAUCACUUAAACAGUUUUGUUGAUCAAAGGUAAAAUGUCUCAUACGGGAUGAAAGAAAGUUACCUGGAAUACAGUUAAAAGGGCUUGUGGAAAAUUAUCGAAGGUGCUCCGUUUUGUUUGAGUUUCAUCAAAAUUAAAUUUGCCUCCAAACAGCUGCAUUCCAAGCAACGAGAAGAUUAUGAUGAAGAGGAAAAGCAGAAGCAACAGUGAAGCAAUGGACUUCAUUGAGUUUAACAAGGAUGCUACCAAGUUGCUCAGGGAUGCCCAGUGCCUAUAAAUUAAAAUGCGUGUAUUAACACACACCAAAAAAAACCCAAACAAAACAGUAAAAGAGCAGUGCAUGAUGAAGUAUUACAAAACAAUUGCUGAUCACUCUUCAGCUAUCCUUAGAAUUAGCAGUAUCAGAUAAUCUUACCUGGUUACUUUAAAAAUACGCAGGAGACGAACACAGCGAAACACUGAAAUUCCAAGGGGUGACAUAAUUUCCAACUCCACCAAAAUGGUUUCAACAAUGCCACCACAAACAACGAAGCAAUCAAAGCGGUUAAA